rnacentral:rRNA from 1 species
GUUGAACGCUGGCGGCAUGCUUUACACAUGCAAGUCGAGCGGUAACAGGCCUUCGGGUGCUGACGAGUGGCGAACGGGUGAGUAAUGCAUCGGAACGUACCCAGAGGUGGGGGAUAACGCAGCGAAAGCUGUGCUAAUACCGCAUGUGAUCUGAGGAUGAAAGCGGGGGACCGAGCAGCAAUGUUUGGCCUCGCGCCUUUGGAGCGGCCGAUGUCGGAUUAGCUAGUUGGUGGGGUAAAGGCCUACCAAGGCGACGAUCCGUAGCUGGUCUGAGAGGACGACCAGCCACACUGGGACUGAGACACGGCCCAGACUCCUACGGGAGGCAGCAGUGGGGAAUUUUGGACAAUGGGCGCAAGCCUGAUCCAGCAAUGCCGCGUGCGGGAAGAAGGCCUUCGGGUUGUAAACCGCUUUUGGCAGGAACGAAACGGUGUCCGCUAAUACCGGGCGCUAAUGACGGUACCUGCAGAAUAAGCACCGGCUAACUACGUG